CGCUGUGAAGAUGCAGUGUACCCGCGGCAAGACGGAAAGACCCCGUGAACCUUUACUAUAGCUUGACACUGAACAUUGAGCCUUGAUGUGUAGGAUAGGUGGGAGGCUUUGAAGUGUGGACGCCAGUCUGCAUGGAGCCGACCUUGAAAUACCACCCUUUAAUGUUUGAUGUUCUAACGUGGACCCGUUACCCGGGUUGCGGACAGUGUCUGGUGGGUAGUUUGACUGGGGCGGUCUCCUCCUAAAGAGUAACGGAGGAGCACGAAGGUUGGCUAAUCCUGGUCGGACAUCAGGAGGUUAGUGCAAUGGCAUAAGCCAGCUUGACUGCGAGCGUGACGGCGCGAGCAGGUGCGAAAGCAGGUCAUAGUGAUCCGGUGGUUCUGAAUGGAAGGGCCAUCGCUCAACGGAUAAAAGGUACUCCGGGGAUAACAGGCUGAUACCGCCCAAGAGUUCAUAUCGACGGCGGUGUUUGGCACCUCGAUGUCGGCUCAUCACAUCCUGGGGCUGAAGUAGGUCCCAAGGGUAUGGCUGUUCGCCAUUUAAAGUGGUACGCGAGCUGGGUUUAGAACGUCGUGAGACAGUUCGGUCCCUAUCUGCCGUGGGCGCUGGAGAACUGAGGGGGGCUGCUCCUAGUACGAGAGGACCGGAGUGGACGCAUCACUGGUGUUCGGGUUGUCAUGCCAAUGGCACUGCCCGGUAGCUAAAUGCGGAAGAGAUAAGUGCUGAAAGCAUCUAAGCACGAAACUUGCCCCGAGAUGAGUUCUCCCUGAGACUUAGAGUCUCCUGAAGGAACGUUGAAGACGACGACGUUGAUAGGCCGGGUGUGUAAGCGCAGCGAUGCGUUGAGCUAACCGGUACUAAUGAACCGUGAGGCUUAACCUUACA
rnacentral:rRNA from 1 species